rnacentral:rRNA from 1 species
AGGACGAACGCUGGCGGCGUGCUUAACACAUGCAAGUCGAACGAGGUCCAUCCAGUCGCAAGACUGGUGAAGGCCGAGUGGCGAACGGGUGAGUAACACGUGGGUGACCUGCCCUUCACUCUGGGAUAAGCCUGGGAAACUGGGUCUAAUACCGGAUAUUCACUGACUCUCGCAUGGGGGUGGGUGGAAAGUUUUUUCGGUGGGGGAUGGGCCCGCGGCCUAUCAGCUUGUUGGUGGGGUGAUGGCCUACCAAGGCGACGACGGGUA